rnacentral:rRNA from 1 species
GAUGAACGCUGGCGGCGUGCCUAACACAUGCAAGUCGAGCGAUUUACUUCGGUAAAGAGCGGCGGACGGGUGAGUAACGCGUGGGUAACCUGCCCUGUACACACGGAUAACAUACCGAAAGGUAUGCUAAUACGAGAUAACAUACUUUUAUCGCAUGGUAGAAGUAUCAAAGCUCUGGCGGUACAGGAUGGACCCGCGUCUGAUUAGCUAGUUGGUAAGGUAACGGCUUACCAAGGCGACGAUCAGUAGCCGACCUGAGAGGGUGAUCGGCCACAUUGGAACUGAGACACGGUCCAAACUCCUACGGGAGGCAGCAGUGGGGAAUAUUGCACAAUGGGCGAAAGCCUGAUGCAGCAACGCCGCGUGAGCGAUGAAGGCCUUCGGGUCGUAAAGCUCUGUCCUCAAGGGAGAUAAUGACGGUACUUGAGGAGGAAGCCCCGGCUAACUACGUGCCAGCCGCCGCAGUAAGAC